rnacentral:rRNA from 1 species
AAUAGCCUAACGGCUGAACCAGCAACUUGGGGGAAUGAGCUUCUAAAAAGAAGCGAAAGAUUAUAUCUGAUAAAGUUCUAGAUAAAGAUUGAUUAUGACAGUUUAUUAUCUAUAUGUCUUGGCUAAAUUUUGUGCCAGCAGCCGCGGUAAUACAAAGGAGACUAGUGUUAUUCAUCUUUAUUAGGUUUAAAGGGUACCUAGACAGCUUAAACAGCCUCCGCAAGAGGUUAAGGUUAGCUAGAGUUUUAUGUAAAAGGAAAAUGAAGAACUAAAUAUGUAGAGAUUUAAUUUUUUGAUAUUUUUAGGACUGAUAAAGGCGAAAGCAUACCUUUAUGUAAAAACUGACGUUGAGGGACGAAGGCAUUGUGUAACGAACAGGAUUAGAUACCCUAGUAGUCUUUGCAGAAAAUGAUGAAUGCCAUAAGUCAGAAUUAUUUGGUUUAUAAAUGAAAGUGUAAGCAUUCCACCUCAAGAGUAAUGUGGCAACGCAGGAACUGAAAUCAUUAGACCGUAUCUGAAAAUAGUAGUGAAGUAUGUUGUUUAAAUCGAUGGUCCGCGAAAAACCUUACCACAACUUGUAUAUUAAUUUCUUGAAUUAAUCACACGCGUUGCAUGGUUGUCUUAAGUUGAUGUCGUGAGAUUUGGUUUUCCAUUAAUUAACUAAAACCCUUUCUUUAUUUAUUAUUAUAAAGUAGUUCUCCGUUACACAGGAUAAGAUAAGAGGGAUUAAGACAAAUCGUCAUGGCCGGAAUAUUGUGGGCUACAGACGUGCCACACGAGCUUAGACAAAAGGAUGCAAAAAUGUGAAUUUUAGCUAAUCCUUAAAUUAAGAUAAUUUUUAU